rnacentral:misc_RNA from 1 species
UCUCCGUAGGUGAACCUGCGGAGGGAUCAUUACAGAGUCCAUGCCCUAACGGGUAGAUCUCCCACCCUAUGUUAUCAUCACUUUGUUGCUUUGGCGGGCCGUCAGGCCUCGGCUUGGCUACCGGCUCUCGCUGGUAAGCGCCCGCCAGAGAACCCCAAACCCUGAAUAUCAGUGUCGUCUGAGUACUAUAUAAUAGUUAAAACUUUCAACAACGGAUCUCUUGGUUCUG